GAAAACAGAAGUAAAUUAGGCAGGCUGUUUAAAAGUGUGUAAAUAUUCCGUAAACUUGUGAUGUGGUCAUACACUGCGAACUAUAUGAUAUUGGUCAUACACUGCAAACAUCGUCGAUAUGUCGAUUUUAUACGGUAAAUCCUGACAAAGUACGAUUGAGCUAACAAUUUAAACAUGCGACAUUGUUCAACGAAGUCAUAUAUAAAACUUUGGUGGAAUUAAAGUUUUCAUAAGAUUUAAAAUGAACGAAAUUAAUUACAAUAAUUUUUUAUUCUAAAUGUUUUCAUAUCUUACAACAUAAAUAUUUUACUAGUUUUAAUGUACAAAACGUUUUGAAGGAAAAUAAAUAAUUACGGUUUGUCUUU